UCAAACUUGGUCAUUUAGAGGAAGUAAAAGUCGUAACAAGGUAACCGUAGGUGAACCUGCGGUUGGAUCAUUACUGAGUGCGAAAAAAGAAAUUCUUCCCCAUUGUGAACUGUUAUUAUUUCUUUGGUGGCCCAAAUACGUUGGCGCGUCUUUGUUAUAGUUACUCAGCUGAUCGAGGUCUUCCGAGUCAUCUAUAUUUUAAGAAGCGACUUCGGGCCACCUAAUUAUGUUAAAUUCCUUGUUUAAAUGUAUUUUUGUCUUAUGCGCGAUUCGCGUUAACAACAAACGAGAACAACUUUUGACAAUGGAUCUCUUGGCUCUUGCAUCGAUGAAGAACGCAGC
rnacentral:misc_RNA from 1 species